CGAACAGCAAGAAAAAACAAAGAAACGAAUUAAAAAAGAACCAAGAAGAUUCGUAGUCGUGUUUUUGUUUUUGUUCCGUGAUUCGUUCAUUAUUUAUGUUGAUGU
rnacentral:ribozyme from 14 species